UGGGGAAUAUUGCACAAUGGGCGAAAGCCUGACGGAGCAACGCCGCGUGAGUGAUGAAGGUCUUCGGAUCGUAAAACUCUGUUAUCAGGGAAGAACAAAUGUGUAAGUAACUGUGCACAUCUUGACGGUACCUGAUCAGAAAGCCACGGCUAACUACGUGCCAGCAGCCGCGGUAAUACGUAGGUGGCAAGCGUUAUCCGGAAUUAUUGGGCGUAAAGCGCGCGUAGGCGGUUUUUUAAGUCUGAUGUGAAAGCCCACGGCUCAACCGUGGAGGGUCAUUGGAAACUGGAAAACUUGAGUGCAGAAGAGGAAAGUGGAAUUCCAUGUGUAGCGGUGAAAUGCGCAGAGAUAUGGAGGAACACCAGUGGCGAAGGCGACUUUCUGGUCUGUAACUGACGCUGAUGUGCGAAAGCGUGGGGAUCAAACAGG
rnacentral:rRNA from 1 species